CGCAGGACUCCGUAUGAGCCCCUGUGUGAUCAUCCAUCGGAUACGCUUUGAGUGGAUUAAAAGCUGCACACGAGCCAGGAAUGUGCGCUUGCAGCCCAGAAGGCCAACCAUAUCCUGGGCUGCAUCCAAAGAAGCAUGACCAGCAGGUCAAGGGAGGUGAUUCUGCCCCUCUACUCUGCUCUGGUUUGUGGGAGUGUGACAUAGUCAAUUUGCCAGGCCUC